UGGGGAAUUUUGCACAAUGGGGGAAACCCUGAUGCAGCGACGCCGCGUGAUUUAGAAGGCCUUCGGGUUGUAAAAAUCUUUUUUACGGGAUGAAAAUGACAGUACCGUAAGAAUAAGGUCCGGCUAAAUACGUGCCAGCAGCCGCGGUAAUACGUAUGGACCGAGCGUUGUCCGGAAUCAUUGGGCGUAAAGGGUACGUAGGCGGCCUAAUAAGUUAGAAGUGAAAGAAUAUAGCUCAACUAUAUAAAGCUUUUAAAACUGUUAGGCUUGAGAGAUGAAAGGGAAAGUGGAAUUCCUAGUGUAGCGGUGAAAUGCGCAGAUAUUAGGAAGAAUACCGGUGGCGAAGGCGACUUUCUGGUCAUCAUCUGACGCUGAGGUACGAAAGCGUGGGUAGCAAACAGG
rnacentral:rRNA from 4 species